GCUUCCAUGUUGGCAUCUGCCCCUCCUCAGGAGCAAAAGCGAAUAUUGGGUGAACGGCUGUUUCCUCUUAUUCAAGCUAUGCACCCUACUCUUGCUGGUAAAAUCACUGGCAUGUGGUUGGAGACUGAUAAUUCAGAACUUCUUCAUAUGCUCGAGUCUCCAGAGUCACUCCAUUCUAAGGUUGUUGAAGCUGUAGCUGUACUACAAGCCCACCGAGCUAAAGAGGCUGCCCAGAAAGCAGUUAACAGUGCCACUGCUGUU
rnacentral:lncRNA from 1 species